CCUCCCCCAAUAAUACAAACACACUAGCGCUGCUUUUGAACCGGUCCCUCGCGCUAAAUGUUUAACUUGUGCUUAUAUCAUCUAAUAUUACAGUGACAGUCAAAUAUCCGAGAGGAAAAUGUUUCUAAGAUAGAAAGUUUUUUUUUAUUUUUUAUUAAGCGGCGUAUCUCUUUAAAUACAUUCAAAUAAUCUAAAAAUAUAACCAAUGCGAAUAACACUAAAUAUAUUUGCAUGCUUAACAGGAACAACAAACGCAGAAAGUGGCGCCUAAAGUACAUACAAGCAAAUCUGUGAUUGACAUCUCAGACUAUCCACACGGGUUCUUUGCUUUGGUUUGAAAUGUGGUUGCCAAGACGUUUCAGCCAAUCACCGCUGAGAGGGGGCGGAGCGUAGCUCGCAUCAGGUUAGUGCUAUAAUGAAAAGAAUAUAGAAAGGGGAGAUCCAAUCCGGUUUCAGCUAGUUUCUGUUCCGAUAGAACAUUAACGCUUGCUUCGGGGUUUCCUAGACCUGGUUUUUACACUUUACUUAUCAGUGCGUAAGCUGUUUUAAUUUAUUUCCUUUUUGUUGUGAAAGCAUACAAGCUUUAAGCAGCCAUGCCUAAAAGGAGCAAAGCUAACAAUGACACUGAAGCAGCCGGGCCCAAGAGACGGUCUGAGAGACUUCAGGGUAAACCCCAAACGCCAAAGUCUGAGCCCAAGCCAAAAGUGAAGAAGGCACCUGCAAAGGGCAAGAAGGCGAAGGAGGUAGAAAAGGCCAAACCAGAGGAGAAGAAAGAAGACGCAAAGCCAGAGACGGAGUCUGAGGAGGAAACUCCUGUGGAGAACGGAGAGGCCAAAGCUGAGGGGGACAAUGGAGAAGCAGGAGGCGAGGAGGAAAAGGCUGACUAGAAAGAGGGAGCUGCUAAAUAAGACGAAAACAUUUCACAAGAGCUCCCAUACCUCUUUUCUUGUACAAUACAGAGGAAUAUUUUUACUGACUAUUUUCUAAAAAGCAGGUUUUUUAGUAGUUCAAUAUUAGAAGCUCAUUUUAUAGACAACGAUCAAGAGAAAAGCCUUAGAAGAGGGAUUCCAUGGUCUCCCCACUCCAGUUUUUCCUGAAGAAGAAAAGCAGUCAUGAAACAACUAAUGACUUCAUCUUAUUAUUAUUAUUAUUUGAUUAUUUUUUUUCUGACUCUGUUUUGUUUUUUAAAAGGGAGGGGAGUGGAACAGGUUGCGACAUAUAAUGUAAUGUGAUCAUGCCAUUUUUAAAGAUUAAAAAAAAAAAAUUUCUUAAGUCUUUCAAUUGAAACUGGGAGAGUUUGCCUGAGACACUAACAUUCCAUAGACAAUAUGAGGGAUACCUGUACGUAUGCUCUGUUUUAUUGUUUCUGGGGGGUUGGGGAUUGAUUGUAAGCUGUAUUCUAUGAAUUGAAACCUCUUUAUUCAAACUGUUUUAUGAAUCAACAGCUUUGAUUAAUGAUCCUGCUCACUAGUACUGGAACACUCAUCGGAUGUGAGAUUUACAUUGACUUUUGUCUUUGUGUGGUGAUAGCAUUGUUUUAUAGCUGCUGUGAAAAGGUUUUCAUAAUUUCUAUAUGCAGUAUGUGAUGGUACUUUAAGAGGAUGAAAAAUGGAAUUGUGUGUGUUAGCAAUGCUAAUAACAGCUGUGUUACAGUGUUAAACAUGCAGGUCAUAGCUGACCUUAUGAAAAUGACUGUAAUUUCAUUCAUGUGAACAUGCCAGCAGUAGCUAUAUCACUCAAGGUUUUAGGUUAAAAGUACACAUGUACAGUUUCUUUUUGGUUUUUCAAAUUUUUUUUUUUUUUUAUGUAGCUUUAUCUGUAAUGAUUGGUAUGACAUACCAAUAAAAUGGUUGUUAUUCCACCUUGAUAUUUUGUCGUUCUGUUUGCUUUCUAUGAAUAAAAAGAAAAGUAGAUAAAACAUACAAUUCAGAAUAAAAGCAAUAGCUAGAAAAUGAAUGCUUCAUUCAUUGACAAUGGCAAUGAAUAAAAUCAAUGUGUUUGAUGUAAUUACUGAUAUUGCAUUAUUUUGCCGUAUUCUAGUUUUGUGUAAAAUUGGUUAGAAAACGUGUGUAUGUUAUUCAAAAGUUUAGGAUCAGAAAGAUUUUUAAAGAAGCUCAUCACUGCUGCAUUUAUUUGAUCAAAAAUAUAGAAAAAACUGCAAUAUUGUGAAAUUGCAAUUUAAAAUUGAUAUUAAUAUUCUUAAAAAUAUAAUGUAGUAAUGCAAAGCCAAGUUUUCAUCAACCAUUACUUCAGCCUUGUCACACGAUCCUUCAGAUAUAAUUCUAAUAUGCUGAUUUAUUAUCAAUGUUGGACACAGUCGUGCUACACUUGAUACAUUUUUCAGGAUUCUUUGAUGAAUAAAAAAGUUUAAAAGAACAAAAUUUAUUUGAAAUCUUUUGUAACUACACACACUACUUCUAUGAGAAUUACCAGAAGGAUUUGGAAUUAAUUUGUAUGAUUUUUGAACCUUAAAGUUUCUCUAAUAAUGUUUUCUGUUAUAAAGGAUUGCACAUUCAGGCAAUCUAAAUAGGUUUUAGUGUCUUAAUGGUCAGGCUAAAAGAUUGUGAUCAAUAGUCAUUCAAUGGAAUUGUAAUCAUCAUGUGACCAUUUCUUGGGACUAUAGUUAUCAACAC
rnacentral:lncRNA from 12 species